rnacentral:rRNA from 1 species
AGCUCCUCGAGUGGUUGGGACGAUUAUUGGGUCUAAAGCGUCCGUAGCCGGCCGGAAAAGUUCUCCGUAAAAUCCAACGAUCCAAUCGUUGGCCUGCGGGGAAUACUCUCUGGCUUGGGGGCGGGGGAGGUCGGCGGUAGUCCCGGGGUAGGGGCGAAAACCGAAGCAAUUCGGCUCGCAGUCUUAUAAUCCCCGGGAGGACCACCAGUGGCGAAGGCGGCCGACUAAAACGCGCCCGACGGUGAGGGACGAAAGCUGGGGGAGCGAACG